CCUACGGGUGGCAGCAGUGAGGAAUAUUGGUCAAUGGGCGCGAGCCUGAACCAGCCAAGUAGCGUGAAGGAUGACUGCCCUACGGAUUGUAAACUUCUUUUAUAAAGGAAUAAAGUGAGGCACGUGUGCCUUUUUGUAUGUACUUUAUGAAUAAGCAUCGGCUAACUCCGUGCCAGCAGCCGCGGUAAUACGGAGGAUCCGAGCGUUAUCCGGAUUUAUUGGGUUUAAAGGGAGCGUAGAGGGGUUGUUAAGUCAGUUGUGAAAGUGUGCGGCUCAACCGUCAAAUUGCAGUUGAGACUGGUAGUCUUGAGGGCAGGUGAGGUAGGCGGAAUUCGUGGUGUAGCGGUGAAAUGCUUAGAUAUCACGAAGAACUCCGAUUGCGAAGGCAGCCUACUAGACUGCAACUGACAUUGAUGCUCGAAAGUGUGGGUAUCAAACAGGAUUAGAUACCCGGGUAGUC
rnacentral:rRNA from 1 species